GAGAGAGGCUAGCUAGCAAUGAAGACUGCUAAUCUUCGCCCCCUUGGUUGAACUCCAAGGCUCACUCG
rnacentral:tRNA from 1 species